AGGACGAACGCUGGCGGCGUGCUUAACACAUGCAAGUCGAGCGGUAAGGCUCCUUCGGGAGUACACGAGCGGCGAACGGGUGAGUAACACGUGAGCAAUCUGCCCUUCACACUGGGAUAACCCCGGGAAACCGGGGCUAAUACCGGAUGUGACCACCGACGGCAUCGUCUGGUGGUGGAAAGUUCCGGCGGUGGAGGAUGAGCUCGCGGCCUAUCAGCUUGUUGGUGGGUAAUGGCCUACCAAGGCUUCGACGGGUAGCCGGCCUGAGAGGGUGACCGGCCACACUGGGACUGAGACACGGCCCAGACUCCUACGGGAGGCAGCAGUGGGGAAUAUUGGACAAUGGGCGAAAGCCUGAUCCAGCAACGCCGCGUGAGGGAUGACGGCCUUCGGGUUGUAAACCUCUUUCAGCAGGGACGAAGCGCGAAGUGACGGUACCUGCAGAAGAAGCAACCGGCCAACUACGUGCCAGCAGCCGC
rnacentral:rRNA from 1 species